rnacentral:tRNA from 6 species
GGGCGCGUAGCUCAGCUGGUUAGAGCGUUCCGUUCACAUCGGAAAGGUCCCCCGUUCGAAUCGGGGCGCGCCCACCA